rnacentral:rRNA from 1 species
UACGAAGGGGGCUAGCGUUGCUCGGAAUUACUGGGCGUAAAGCGCACGUAGGCGGUUUCUUAAGUCGGGGGUGAAAUCCUGGAGCUCAACUCCAGAACUGCCUUCGAUACUGGGAAACUUGAGUCCGGGAGAGGUGAGUGGAACUGCGAGCGUAGAGGUGAAAUUCGUAGAUAUUCGCAAGAACACCAGUGGCGAAGGCGGCUCACUGGCCCGGUACUGACGCUGAGGUGCGAAAGCGUGGGGAGCAAACAGG